rnacentral:rRNA from 1 species
AUACGUAGGUGACAAGCGUUAUCCGGAUUUACUGGGCGUAAAGGGCGUGUAGGCGGUCUUGCAAGUCAGAAGUGAAAUUCCUGAGCUCAACUCGGGCGCUGCUUCUGAAACUGCAGGACUUGAGUGCAGGAGAGGUUAUCGGAAUUCCCGGUGUAGCGGUGAAAUGCGUAGAGAUCGGGAGGAACACCAGUGGCGAAGGCGGGUAACUGGACUGCAACUGACGCUGAGGCGCGAAAGUGUGGGGAGCAAACAGGAUUAGAUACCCUGGUAGUCCACACUGUAAACGAUGAAUGCUAGGUGUAGGAGGUAUCGACCCCUUCUGUGCCGCAGUAAACACAGUAAGCAUUCCGCCUGGGGAGUACGGUCGCAAGAUUAAAACUCAAAGGAAUUGACGGGG